GGUUCGAUGGUCUAGGGAUUAUGAUUCUCGCUUCGGGUGCGAGAGGUCCCGGGUUCAACGCACGGUCGAACCC